rnacentral:rRNA from 1 species
GGGAUAACUACUGGAAACGGUAGCUAAUACCGCAUAACGUCGCAAGACCAAAGAGGGGGACCUUCGGGCCUCUUGCCAUCGGAUGUGCCCAGAUGGGAUUAGCUUGUUGGUGGGGUAACGGCUCACCAAGGCGACGAUCCCUAGCUGGUCUGAGAGGAUGACCAGCCACACUGGAACUGAGACACGGUCCAGACUCCUACGGGAGGCAGCAGUGGGGAAUAUUGCACAAUGGGCGCAAGCCUGAUGCAGCCAUGCCGCGUGUAUGAAGAAGGCCUUCGGGUUGUAAAGUACUUUCAGCGGGGAGGAAGGGAGUAAAGUUAAUACCUUUGCUCAUUGACGUUACCCGCAGAAGAAGCACCGGCUAACUCCGUGCCAGCAGCCGCGGUAAUACGGAGGGUGCAAGCGUUAAUCGGAAUUACUGGGCGUAAAGCGCACGCAGGCGGUUUGUUAAGUCAGAUGUGAAAUCCCCGGGCUCAACCUGGGAACUGCAUCUGAUACUGGCAAGCUUGAGUCUCGUAGAGGGGGGUAGAAUUCCA